UUGAACGCUGGCGGCCGGCCUAACACAUGCAAGUCGAGCGGAUGAAGGGAGCUUGCUCCUGGAUUCAGCGGCGGACGGGUGAGUAAUGCCUAGGAAUCUGCCUGGUAGUGGGGGAUAACGUCCGGAAACGGGCGCUAAUACCGCAUACGUCCUGAGGGAGAAAGUGGGGGAUCUUCGGACCUCACGCUAUCAGAUGAGCCUAGGUCGGAUUAGCUAGUUGGUGGGGUAAAGGCCUACCAAGGCGACGAUCCGUAACAGGUCUGAGAGGAUGAUCAGUCACACUGGAACUGAGACACGGUCCAGACUCCUACGGGAGGCAGCAGUGGGGAAUAUUGGACAGUGGGCGAAAGCAUGAUCCAGCCAUGCCGAGUGUGUGAAGAAGGUCUUCGGAUUGUAAAGCACUUUAAGUUGGGAGGAAGGGCAGUAAGUUAAUACCUUGCUGUUUUGACGUUACCAACAGAAUAAGCACCGGCUAACUUCGUG
rnacentral:rRNA from 1 species